rnacentral:rRNA from 1 species
AUGGCCCCCUUAGCCCCCGCCGCUUCCCCUGCCGCCGCCCCUCCCCUUCCCCCUCCCAGCCCGGCCGGGGACGAAGGCCCUGACCCGGAUCCCGACCCGCGCCUCUCUCCGGCGGUCUUUCUUUUCGCCCCUGCUGCUCCGGCCCCGGCGCCGGCCGCUCCGGCCCCUGCUGCUCCGGCCCCAGCGCCCGCCGCUUUGGCCCCGGCCGCCCCGGACCUGGCCGCUCCGGCCCCUGCGGCUCCAACCUCGGCGCCCGCCGCUCUGGCCCCGGCCGCCCCGGCUUGGGUGGAGGUUGGGAGACGGCGCCGCCCGAGCCUGGAGAAGGUGGCUGCUCCCCCUCCCAGGAAGGAUGCUGGACUGCCUCGCACUUUCAAGCAGAGGACUUUCGGCCUCUGCUUUCGGUGCUUGGCGUCGGACCACUUCGCCGCGGGCUGCCGCGGCCCUGUCCGGUGCUUGGGAUGUGGCCACUCCGGCCAUCGCGAGCGGGAGUGCUUGGCACGGCAUCCUGCCGACAACCUUGCGACUGAUGGUGUCGUGCCGGCGGCUGACCCCGGCGUGCCUCCUACUGUUUUGGAGCCCUUGCGGCCUCUCCUUGCAGCUCAGGCGGAGGCGCUCGGCGCUGAGCUACAGGCCUUGUUCGCUGCUCGUCUUGAGGUGCUGUUCAAGCCUCUUCAAGACUUGGUUGCUGCUGUGGAGAGUUGGACUGCUCAAGUCUCAAGCCUAUGGGAACCUAUGGAAGCUAUCGGGGGCAGCCAAGACCUUGCCAAUGUUGAAUCUGCUCCUCCUGCUGUGGCCGUUGGUGAGGAUUGUAGUGCGCUUGUUGUGGCUGGCUGCUCAGCUGAGUGGAGUGAGAAGGCUCAGUCCGUUAAUGAUCCGCCUGCCUUGGAGAAGGUCAUGCUCGAGGAUGAUCCUCCUGACUUGGCUUCUGUCCUACUCGGGAUGGUGAGUCAAGGCGUGGAGGAGCGGGCCAAGGUGUCUUUUUGUUUUGACAUGGUUAUGUCUGAGGUGGAGCCUGUUGAGCAGUCGACACUGGAGGAGCCGAAGGUUUCUAGUGCUCCUUGCACCAGCAAGCCUUCAAAGGAGCUGAUCCGGAUGGAUGCAGAUGAGCCUCUUGGGAGAGCCUCCUCUCCGUGGGGGGAGUUCCUCGAAGAGCUUGCUCUCACUGUGUCGAGCUCGCCGCAAGUUUUGCAGGUGGGAGAGGCUGCUCCUUCUCUCUUACAGCGACGAAGCUGCCGUUUGGACAAGAAAAACAAAGAUUGCGACAUUCCUGUAGCCAAGCACGCGGAGUAUAGGCGGGCGGAGGCCUUUGGAGAGGUUCCAACACUCAAGAACAAAGGAAAAGCAUCUAAAGAAGACCUGAAUGAGAAGAUGCAACACUAUCUGCAGAUGUACAAGAAGGAACACACGCCCAAGGCGAUUGAGGCAGUGCACGCAUUAGUUCAGGCCAAUGCUUGA